AUGAUCUUACCCAAGGAUAUGGGGGGCAUGGGUUUUAGAGAUAUGAGGGCGUUUAACCGGGCGCUUCUUGCAAAACAAGCCUGGAGGUUGCUUGAAAGUCCUGAUAGUUUAUGUGCUCGUUUGCUACGAGCUAAAUAUUAUCCCAAUGGGAAUCUGCUUGAUACAGUCUUCCCUUCUGGUUCGUCUGUUGUAUGGAAGGGAAUCAUGUACGGUCUCGAUCUUUUGAAGAAAGGGCUCAUAUGGCGUGUGGGCGAUGGUUCACUAAUCAGAACGUGGAGGGACCCAUGGAUCCCGAGGAGAGAUGACUUCAAGCCAAUCACUCCAAAAGGAAAUUGUAGAUACAAUUGGGUAGCGGACUUCCUUGAUGAAUCAGGUGCAUGGAAUAUGGAGAUGCUACGGCAAUACUUCUGGGAUAUGGACGUCCGGGAGAUAAUGAAGAUCAGGACGUCACCAAGCCAAGGUCAGGACUUCCUGGCAUGGUUUCUAGAAAAGAGUGGAGUGUUCACGGUCAAGAGU
rnacentral:rRNA from 1 species